GACGAACGCUGGCGGCGUGCCUAACACAUGCAAGUCAACUUGACUGAAGGAGCAAUCUGACAGUAGAGUGGCGCAAGGGUGCGUAACGCGUAAGUAACUUGCCCCAAGGUAAGGAAUAACGUCGAGAAAUCGGCGCUAAUACCUCAUAAUGCAGCGGAUCCGCAUGGAUAUGUUGUUAAAGGUUUACUGCCUUGGGAUAGGCUUGCGUCUGAUUAGUUAGUUGGUGUGGUAACGGCACACCAAGGCUACGAUCAGUAACUGGUCUGAGAGGAUGAUCAGUCACACUGGAACUGAGACACGGUCCAGACUCCUACGGGAGGCAGCAGUGAGGAAUAUUGGGCAAUGCUCGAAAGAGUGACCCAGCAACGCCGCGUGGAGGAUGAAGGUAUUCUAUAUCGUAAACUCCUGUGAGAGCAGACGAAAGACAGAUUAUUAAUCUGGAUGACUGUAUGCUCAGAGGAAGCCCCGGCUAACUACG
rnacentral:rRNA from 1 species